UACGUGAGCCCCGAGCGUUACCCGGAAUCACUGGGCGUAAAGGGUGUGUAGGCGGUUAUGUUAGUCUUCUGUUAAAGCACCCGGCUCAACCGGGGACAGGCAGAGGAAACGGCAUAACUAGAGGAUGCGAGGGGUCUAGGGAACUCUAGGUGUAGGGGUGAAAUCCGUUGAUAUCUAGGGGAACACCAAAAGCGAAGGCACUAGACUGGCGCACUCCUGACGCUGAGACACGAAAGCGUGGGUAGCGAACGGG
rnacentral:misc_RNA from 1 species